UACGUAGGGUGCGAGCGUUAAUCGGAAUUACUGGGCGUAAAGCGUGCGCAGGCGGUUUGUUAAGCCAGAUGUGAAAGCCCCGGGCUCAACCUGGGAACUGCGUUUGGUACUGGCAAGCUAGAGUACGGCAGAGGGGGGUGGAAUUCCGCGUGUAGCAGUGAAAUGCGUAGAUAUGCGGAGGAACACCGAUGGCGAAGGCAAUCCCCUGGGCCUGCACUGACGCUCAUGCACGAAAGCGUGGGGAGCAAACAGG
rnacentral:rRNA from 1 species